rnacentral:rRNA from 1 species
UACGUAGGGAGCAAGCGUUGUCCGGAAUCAUUAGGCGUAAAGCGCGCGUAGGCGGCCUCAUAAGUCCGUUGUGAAAGUCAAAGGCUCAACCUUUGAAAGCCGAUGGAUACUGUGAGGCUAGAGUUCGGAAGAGGCGAGUGGAAUUCCUGGUGUAGCGGUGGAAUGCGCAGAUAUCAGGAGGAACACCAAUAGCGAAGGCAGCUCGCUGGGACGAUACUGACGCUAAGGCGCGAAAGCGUGGGGAGCGAACAGG